rnacentral:piRNA from 1 species
UAAGGAUGUGAUUGAAUUCCCAUU